rnacentral:misc_RNA from 1 species
GAUGAAGAACGCAGCGAAAUGCGAUACGUAAUGUGAAUUGCAAAUUCAGUGAAUCAUCGAGUCUUUGAACGCACAUUGCGCCCCCUGGUAUUCCGGGGGGCAUGCCUGUCCGAGCGUCAUUGCUGCCCUCAAGCACGGCUUGUGUGUUGGGCCCCGUCCCCUCCCCCGGGGACGGGCCCGAAAGGCAGCGGCGGCACCGCGUCCGAUCCUCGAGCGUAUGGGGCUUUGUCACCCGCUCUGUAGGCCCGGCCGGCGCCAGCCGACACCCAACUUUUAUUUCUAAGGUUGACCUCGGAUCAGGUAGGGAUACCCGCUGAACUUAAGCAUAUCAAUAAGCGGAGGA